rnacentral:rRNA from 1 species
UACAGAGGUCCCAAGCGUUGUUCGGAUUCACUGGGCGUAAAGGGUGCGUAGGUGGCCAGGUAAGUUUGGUGUGAAAGCUCGGAGCUUAACUCCGAAAUGUCAUUGAGUACUAUCUGGCUGGAGGGUCGGAGGGGAGACUGGAAUUCUCGGUGUAGCAGUGAAAUGCGUAGAUAUCGAGAGGAACACCAGUGGCGAAGGCGAGUCUCUGGACGACUCCUGACACUGAGGCACGAAAGCCGGGGGAGCAAACAGG